rnacentral:miRNA from 1 species
AGAUGUAUUCUUGGCACGAGA